rnacentral:rRNA from 1 species
CAGCCGCCGCGGUAAUACGAAGGGGGCUAGCGUUGCUCGGAAUUACUGGGCGUAAAGGGAGCGUAGGCGGACAUUUAAGUCAGGGGUGAAACCCCAGAGCUCAACUCUGGAACUGCCUUUGAUACUGGGUGUCUUGAGUGUGAUAGAGGUAUGUGGAACUCCGAGUGUAGAGGUGAAAUUCGUAGAUAUUCGGAAGAACACCAGUGGCGAAGGCGACAUACUGGAUCAUUACUGACGCUGAGGCUCGAAAGCGUGGGGAGCAAACAGGAUUAGAUACCCCCGUAGUCCCUGUCUCUUAUAC